rnacentral:ncRNA from 1 species
UGCAGGUAAGAAGCUUGAAUUAAUAUCCUUAACUCUGGCCUUUAUGGACUACAACAUAACCUUAUCCCCCCAAUAGUGCAGUGGGCUACAGAACUUCUUCUGUUCACUUAGUAUUAAUAAGUUGACAUAUUUUGUAAAUUAUUGCUUAGUAAAUACCUUAACAAGUUUCAAGUAGUUUAUUGGAAUUUUAAGGUUGAAAUGCCAUAAAGUUUUACAUUUCAUGUUCAGACUUGAUAUCUGUGUGGCUUCAGAACAGAGUCAAAUUUACAAAACAUCUUCUGUAAUAGGACUCUGGUUCUAUUAUGUUGGUUUUCAGAAGCAGGGCCAUGAUUAAUAGAGAUGGUUGGAAGCAUUUGCAUUCUGUUGCUAGAAUUGAAAUUCUUGGACCAACAUAAGAUGGCCUAGAGUGAAAGCAUUUGCCAAGAAUGUUCUCAUUAAUCAAGAAUGAAAGUCACAUCUUCGAAGAUCAUCAGAUACCACUGUAGUUCCAAUCAUAAACAAUGCCAACUGGCAAUAAGUUUUUUGGGGACAUCUCUGUGGCAUAAUUGGUUAGUGCCUUCAGCUGUAAAUUAAAAGGUUGGUGGUUCAG